AUGCGCCACUGCGGAGAAAGACGAAGAAGAAGAAGAAGUAGAAGAAGCUCCGAGGACGAAGAAGAAGAAGGUGCUUUCGCUGUGGCGGUUUCGUAACAUCGGGGGUGUCUGCCACGUAUUAGAAGAGCCCAAUGAAAAAUUACGACACGUGGUACAGUUGGCACGAGCCUAAGCCCCAGAAAAUGGAAGCCAACUUUCCGGGUUUGCAAUGCACUGAUAAUCCUGGCACAACUCCAAUGCACACAUGCCACGUGUUAUGCAAGCUCCUUGUUGAACAUGCAUGACGCCUGAAUGUGCAUGGCGCGUGGGAUAAGGCCACCGUCGGAACAAGAGGCACAGCAAGACAUAGCUGCACGUGGCACGACCAGACAACAAGAGGGCACUCCACUGCUGACGUGGCAAGCCUGUUAUUGAGCGCUUGCUUAAUUCUUCGAUGAAUUUAGACUUCUGCGGCUGAAAGUUCAUUCUCAGCCACCAUCAUAAUGAUGCCAAAGAGUGCCAUGACUAGUGCGUAGUCACUGAUCCUUUUCCGCUUCUCAAAGAGAGCCUUACGUCGACCGAGCCGGUACCCAACAGAGGGCUUAUGAAAGCGACUUCCUCCACCUGUGCUAGAUCCUCCUGCCGAAUGGCCCUUCAGGAAGCGUCGCCCGUCGUCGCCCUGACGCUCGGCAUGCACCCCGACGAGCGCGAUGCCUGCGCCGUCGCUGUCGCUCGACUGCUGCUGUUGGGCCUGCUGCUUCAUGGCCGCUGGGAUGGACAGCGUCGAGGUGGGCUUGCGCAAGUGCUUGAAGUGGCGCAAAGCCCCAUUGAUGCGCAUCGAGUCGGCCGCGAUUUCGGCGAUCUCGUUGUCGCGGUGCAGCUGGCGUAGGGACGUCGUCAGCGGCGCCGGACCACCACCGCCGCCGCCGCCGCUGCCCUCGCAGCGCACGCUCUCGCGGGACACCGUCCGCGUCAAGAACGAAUGCUCCAGCCGCGCGCUCAGUCCCAGCCGCGUGUGCGGCGUCCAGAGGUGAGGGCGCUUCGGCGCCGGUCCCGAAGUCGCCCCCACCGCAGCGCCAUCUGCGACUCCGCCUUCCGGAACAUCGCUGCUGCCGGAGGCGCUCCAGACGGACGCUUGACGAACCUCGUCCUCACCGCCGCCCCCGACGCCUCCAAGACUCGGGGCGUGCACUUGAAUCUGAGGUCCAAUCUCCGGACAGGAGCGGUAGUUCGGCGGCGCUGGGGGUUCGAGCUGUUUGAACUCGACGAGCGGCAGAGCACGCUCGGGCUCCGAGUGCAUGCGCCCCAGCACCAGAGUCGGCUUGCUGCUCGACGGGAAGCACGCGGCGGGCCAGUCAUUCGAGACCGGAUGGAGUCCUGGUGGGAUGAUCUCUUCGGCAGCGGGUGUCACCAUCACCAGUGACAUGGUGCGUCAGGUGAAGAUGACCCAACGCAGCCACAUGCGCCUUCAGCCGAUGUCCAAGGGGCAGCUGGGAAGACCGCGGCGCGCGUGCCCACCAGCCGGACACUCCGAGGUCAUCUGCGUGUAAGGAAACAAUGGAAUUUCGACGUGGGUCCCAGCUUCAGAUACAUGUGAGCGCUCUCACCUUCCAGCGUUCCCAACUCACCUGAGAAGAUACCCUGGUACUUCCCAAGCAUGGCAUCAAGGCGAACUGGUAGACACUACUGCCGGGCUGCCCGCAGCUUUCCAGGUGAUUUAGGCCGCAGAUGGACUCGCACCCAACCUAGUGCGACGCCUAGGAUAGAGCCUUCGAGCCUUUUCUAUUGCAUCUCUAACGCUGUGUAACAGAGCGAAAGCCAGCGUCAUAAUGAAGGCCGGUUUCCUGCCUUAGACAACACAAGCAAGCGACGCUACAGUGAUGUCAACAACGUGAACAAGAAACAUCGGCUCACCUGCUCUCCUAUACGUUCGCUUGCGCCCGUCGAGCACCAAACACACACGCGCGACACGAGAAGAAAGCUUCUGUCUCUGACGGUCGAAGACAGAGGCACACACACACACUGCCAAGAAUGCACUGAGAACGGAAUCAGGCAAUGCAAUGCCCACGGCGUUCUGUCUCCAAAACACCUUACUCACGGUGGCACACACAAGCUACGCUCGGUGCCGUCGUCUGCAAAAAUACUUCAUCCCGGCUGUGAUUCGAGCGUCAUCAUGCAUUGCAGACGACACGGCAGCCCAGAAAUUAGAGAUCGAUUCAGCCGAAGUCUACAAAAAUCGAUGCAAAGUCGCGUUUUCGAAAACCAAGUUCACCCUUUAGAAGCGAAACCCAGGUUUGAAGUCGGGCGAAAACUUUCACCUCAUCCGUAUGAACAUCGUCAUCGUCUGAGCGGAUGAAACAGUCGACCGGAAAAGCCCUCAACCGAAUGGGUGCAGCUCAUUUUACAAGCCAAAGGGGAGAAGGGUCGUUGUCGAGGUGAUGCGCGAGUCGUUUCCCUUCAAAAAUAGAUGGCGUUCAUUUCUCCGAGUUCGGCACUGAUAGCAGUGUCGCCUGCUUAUUGGAAAUGACGCAGCGUGGCCUUCAGACGCUGGACUGAUAAGGGAAGCAGCGAGCAAAAAGAAGACUACGAAAUUUUAAUUUUCCUGACAAUGUGCUAGGGAGACGACUAUGCAAGCUUACUGUUGUGUUCUCUUGAGAAAGGCAGAGCAUGCUGGAUGCAACGCAAAAAAAGGGGAGAGGGAGAAACAUAAAGUGACUUUCUGUAGCGACAGUGCUAUCAUAUUUUUCUUUCUUCUCUUUUUCAGUUUCCUUCCUCAAUUUCUACCGUAUCUGAGAACCAAUAUUAGAAGACUAAAGCAUAAACCAGCCCAUUUGAAGCAAGUUCAUUAUUUGAUUUUCGGCAGUUUGGGUCAUUGUGGCUAAAGUGGCUUUUGCGCCAUAAAAGAAACUCAAUAUCGGCAUACUUUGUCACCCCGUAUCAUGCACAAGAUCAAAGCGAAAGAACUCCCGAAGCUCCCGUCCCACGCUGUAGCUUUCGAUGGUUUAUAAAGUAGGCUUCCUUGCACGCCAAUGUGCAACAGGAGAAGCACGCUUUAAAGGUUACACCCAUUAAACGGAUGAAAUGCUUGCGGUUUCAACGACUCUCACGAAAUAAAAAUAUAACAGAGUCUA